CACACACUACCUUAUCUUUCCUUCAGGCCUUCUGUAUCCUAUUACUUCUUCCCAGACACUUCCCCGCUGUUUAUUUAAUUAACUCUUCCUAAUCCUGCAGUUCUCAGUCUAGCUGUCACCACAUGACUUCUUUAAACUCUUAGGCUAGGCUAGUUGCCCUCCUCUAGGCUCACACCAUGCUCUAUAAUCUGCAUCACAACCCCUUACCAUGCUGUGUUGUUAAUUACUUGUUCUUGCUUGUAAUUUCCAGCAGACUAAAUUCUGUGGGGGAAAAUAAUCUUCUUUGUUUUAUUCUCUGCUGUUUUGAUGAGCAUCUAGCUCAGUGCUGGGACAUAGUAGGCACUUUCGUAAAUUUUUGAUAAAUGAAGUGGGUGUAUUGUUCUGUGACAGGAAUGGGAAAAGGACAGCACAGGAUGCCCUCCAAGGAUGAGCUGGUCCAGAGAUACAACAGGAUGAAUACCAUCCCCCAGGUAUUGGAACUAUUCUAAUGAGGCAGGACCUUUCCCUGGGGCUAAUUUAGGCUCCAGAGCUGGACAGGGAAACAGUGGGGUGAGAAUGGGUUGGGGAGUGAUUUGAGAUCAUUUAAAGGAGUCAGGUAUGUUCUAAAGUGAACACACGUCUGGAGUCAUAUGUAGCUGAAGUCAUGAGUAUAAAAGCAGAGGCUGAGUUUAGAUGAAAAUGUAAAGAUGGAAGCUGUGACCCUAUCCAGACUGAUUAUGGGAAAGAAGAAUUUUCUGGGCGGCGAGGGGUGUUGCUGGGAGCCCAGGAUAUCUCUGAUCCCCACUCCCAAUCAUCAGCUAACCAGCCUCUCUAGGGAAAGCUGUACCCAUCUACCUGGCUCUGGUCUCCUUUGCCUCCUUCUCUUCCAGACCCGAUCCAUUCAGUCACGGUUCCUGCAGAGUCGGAAUCUAAACUGUAUAGCACUUUGUGAAGGUAGGUAGCUUGCCCAUGUCCUGUUUUUCUGGGUCUCUAACCUUUGUUUCUGAUGUAAUUUUGGCACAUGAUCUGGCCAAGAGUGAUGUUGAAGUGGCAUGGCUUCCUUCUCCUGCCUGGACUCUGUGCCUUAAGCAUUGUAUCUAUGAUUUCUGGCCCUCUUUCUCCCAGUGAUUACAUCUAAGGACCUCCAGAAGCAUGGGAACAUCUGGGUGUGCCCUGUGUCCGACCAUGUCUGCACAAGAUUCUUCUUUGUAUAUGAGGAUGGUCAGGUGGGCGAUGCCAACAUUAAUACUCAGGACCCCAAGAUACAGAAGGAAAUCAUGCGUGUGAUCGGAACUCAGGUUUACACAAACUGAGGGGGCCCCAGCCCUCGUACCACCCCUGUUACCCCAGGAUCCAUCUGCCCUCAUAAAAGUGUUCAGGUACAGCAGCUGAGGCUGCCCUGAGGAAUCAAGGGGCCAUUACCAAGGGGCAGGAAAAGGAUAUGUAAGAGGUGGCCUUCAUGGUAGAGCUUGACCCAAGAACUACUCCACAUUCGGAUGGCCCAGACUGACUCCAUCCCCUGACUUUCCCUUUGACUUCACCCUGUUUGUAAAUAAAACAAUAAAAUGGAAGGUGCUGUG
rnacentral:lncRNA from 10 species